UACGUAGGGUGCAAGCGUUAAUCGGAAUUACUGGGCGUAAAGCGUGCGCAGGCGGUUCGGAAAGACAGAUGUGAAAUCCCAGGGCUCAACCUUGGAACUGCAUUUUUAACUACCGGGCUAGAGUGUGUCAGAGGGAGGUGGAAUUCCGCGUGUAGCAGUGAAAUGCGUAGAUAUGCGGAGGAACACCGAUGGCGAAGGCAGCCUCCUGGGAUAACACUGACGCUCAGGCACGAAAGCGUGGGGAGCAAACAGG
rnacentral:rRNA from 1 species